UGGAACCCACCCAUUGUUUGAAAAGUCAAAAAGGGUGGGCACCGAAAGUAGAAAGUAAAAUUGGUUGGCAAGUUGGGUUAAAAGUUGGCAUGGGAUAAUUGCAAUUUUGGUCCCUAAUUGUAUAGGGACAUUGCAAGUUGAUCCUUGAACCUCAACUAUAAAUAGGCCUAACCAUUUCUUACUUUCUUCAUCCCACACUUGUCAUUCUCUACUUAAGGCAAUUGUUCUCUCUCCCUAUUUGUAAACUUUCACUUGUAUUUUUGGAGUGAAAUAUAUUUGGUAGUGCCCGAGGACGUAGGCAAAAUUUGCUGAACCUCGUUAAAAUUCUAGUGUUCUUUAUUUUUUGUUCUGCAUAUUUUACAAGUGUCAUUGUAGUGAUUUAUUGUGCUAUUAAAUUACGAUAGAGGGAUAUUCUGGCUAGGAAAGAUCUGGUAUGUAAGCGAUCCUCGUGAUCCACCUCUCUUUCCUGGGAAUUGAACUUAGUGUGAUUUUUCAGUACAAUAAUUUUACUCUUUCACACGCUUCCGCGCAACAAUUGGUACCAGAGCCAGGUUCGUACUUGGGGAAUACGACCGUUUACGGUACUAUUCACGUAUACGGCACUAUUCACGUAUAUAGUACUAUUCACGUAUACGACACUAUUCACGUAUACGGUACUGUUCACGUAUACAGUAGUUGGGAUUGAGGAGAAAAAUGGCAGCAGCAUCGUCAUCAGCAAGGACUACUGUGACAAAUGCAAAAUUUGAAGUAGAGAAAUUUGACGGUACCAAUAAUUUUGGUAUGUGGCAGUGUGAGAUCCUGGAUGUCUUAUGUCAGCAAGAGCUGGAUAUAGCCCUUGAAGAAAAACCUGACAAGAUGGAUGACAAGGAGUGGGCCAAGAUCAAUAGACAGGUGUGUGGUACAAUCCGCCUAUGUUUGGCCAAAGAGCAGAAGUACUCCGUCAUGAGGGAGACAUCAGCGAAGAAGCUGUGGGAUACAUUGGCAGAAAAGUUUCUAACGAAAAGUCUUGAAAAUAGGCUUUAUAUGAAAAAGAAACUUUUUCGGUUCACGUAUGCACCCGGUAUAUCGAUGAAUGACCAUGUGAACUCAUUCAAUAAAAUUUUAGCAGACUUGCUAAAUUUGGAUGAGAAAUUUGAAGAUGAAGACAAGGCAUUAUUGUUGUUGAAUUCCCUUCCUGAUGAAUAUGAUCAUCUUACCACCACAUUGCUUCAUGGGAAAGAUUCAAUCACAUUUGAUGCAGUCUGUAGUGCGUUGUAUAGAUCUGAGACUCGAAAGAAAGAUAAAAGAGAUCACAGAGAUACAACUGCAGAAGUCUUAACAGUAAGAGGUCGUUCACACAGCAGCAAACCUGGUAGAAGGGGUAAGUCCAAAGGGAGACCCGCCAAAGAUGAAUGUGCCUUUUGUCGUGAGAAGGGGCAUUGGAAAAAGAAUUGUCCUAAGUUACAAAAGGGCAAGUCUAUUUCUAAUGCAUGUGUAGUGGAGCAUGAUGAGGAGUCAGACUUUAGCUUGGUUGGCAUGGCAAUGGCAUGUCAAACGGAUGAGUGGAUAUUGGAUUCGAGAUGUACUUACCAUAUGUGUCCUAAUAAGGACUGGUUUUCUAGUCUUGAAGAACUAGAAGGUGGAGUUGUUUUUAUGGGCAAUGAUAGUGCCUGUAAGACAAUGGGUGUAGGUACAAUCAAAUUGAAGAACCAUGACGGCUCAAUCCAAGUUCUGACAGAUGUUCGCUAUGUACCCAGCUUGAAGAAAAAUCUCAUCUCAUUAGGGGCCCUAGAAUCUAAAGGGCUCACAAUCACUUUGAGAGAUGGAUUACUAAAGGUAGUAGCUGGGGUAUUGACGGUGAUGAAAGGCACUAGAAGAAAUAACUUGUACUAUUUAAAUGGAAGUACAGUUAUUGGAUCAACAUCAACAGCUUCUGCGGAAGAUGCAGAUUCAGAGGCUACCAGGUUAUGGCAUAGGCGAUUGGGACAUGCUGGUGAAAAAGCUUUGCAGACUUUGGCGAAGCAAGGCUUGUUGAAAGGUGCAAAUUCUUGCAAAUUGGAAUUCUGUGAACAUUGUGUUCUGGGCAAGCAGACGAGGGUAAAAUUUGGUUCAGCAAUUCACAAUACGAAAGGAAUUCUGGACUAUGUUCACAGUGAUGUGUGGGGACCUACCAAAGUGGCUUCUUUGGGAGGUAUGCACUAUUUUGUCACUUUUCUUGAUGAUUAUUCAAGAAAAGUAUGGGUGUAUCUAAUGAAAAGAAAAAAUGAAGUUUUGGAUGCAUUUCUGAAGUGGAAGAAGAUGGUGGAGACUCAGACAGGUCGAAAGGUCAAACGACUUCGAUCAGAUAAUGGUACUGAGUACAAAAAUGAUCUAUUUCUACAAGUAUGUCAAGAUGAGGGCAUUGUGCGACACUUCACUGUUCGAGAUACACCACAGCAGAAUGGGGUGGCAGAACGCAUGAAUCGGACUAUACUGGAGAAAGUUCGAUGUAUGUUGUCCAAUGCUGGAUUGGGCAAGGAAUUUUGGGCUGAGGCAGUUACAUAUGCGUGCCAUCUAAUUAACCGAUUGCCAUCAGCUGCAAUAAAUGGAAAAACUCCUAUGGAGAUGUGGACUGGUAAACCUGCUACUGAUUAUGAUUCUUUACAUGUUUUUGGUUCCACUGCAUAUUAUCAUGUAAAAGAAUCUAAGUUAGACCCAAGAGCAAAGAAAGCAUUAUUCAUGGGUAUAACUGGUGGUGUAAAAGGAUACCGUCUCUGGUGUCCUGAUACAAGGAAGAUUGUUUUCAGUAGAGAUGUAACUUUUGAUGAAUCAACCAUGAUGAAGAACGAGGAUUCACAAAAGGAUGACAAAACCAGUAGUACUUUGCAGCAGGUGGAGUUUGAAAAGGUUAAUGAUGAUCCAGCUAAUAUUGAAAGAACAAAUGAUGAAGAAGUUUCGACCCAAGAACUUCUACAGCAACAAGAUUCAAUUGCAUAUAGGAGGCCAAGAAGAGAGAUUCGUAAGCCUGCUCGCUUUGACGAUAUGGUGGCCUAUGCACUUCCAAUUGCAGAUGAUGAUGUUCCUUCCACUUACACAGAAGCAAUAAGUAACUCUGAUGGUGUAAAGUGGAAGCAAGCUAUGAAUGAAGAAAUGCAGUCUCUUCAUAAAAAUAGGACUUGGGAGUUGGUGAGACUGCCCAAGGGAAAGAAGGCAAUUGGAUGCAAAUGGGUAUAUGCAAAGAAGGAAGGAUUUCCUGGUAAAAAUGAAAUUCGAUACAAGGCUAGAUUGGUAGCAAAGGGUUACGCUCAGAAAGAAGGAAUAGACUACAAUGAAGUGUUUUCUCCAGUUGUGAAGCAUUCGUCUAUUCGGAUUUUGCUAGCCUUGGUUGCGCAAUACGAUCUUGAACUAGUUCAGCUUGAUGUGAAGACAGCAUUUUUACACGGUGAUUUGGAAGAGGAAAUCUAUAUGACUCAGCCUGAUGGAUUCAAUGUUGCUGAUAAAGAAAAUUGGGUUUGCAAACUGACAAAGUCGCUUUAUGGAUUGAAACAAUCUCCGAGGCAGUGGUACAAGCGAUUUGAUCAGUUCAUGAAAGGGCAAAGGUACACAAGAAGUAAAUUUGAUCAUUGCGUAUAUUUUCAGAAGCUACAAGAAGGAACUUUCAUAUACUUGCUCUUAUAUGUUGAUGAUAUGCUGAUAGCAUCUAAGAGCAAAGUUGAGAUUGAGAGAUUGAAGACUCAACUCAAUCUCGAGUUUGAGAUGAAAGAUCUAGGUGAAGCUAAGAAGAUUCUUGGCAUGGAAAUAUGUAGAGAUAGAGCUCAUGGCAGAGUUAGCUUGUCUCAGAAGCAGUAUUUGAAGAAAGUACUACAGCAGUUUGGCAUGAACGAGCAGACCAAACCUGUAAGUACCCCGUUGGCUUCUCAUUUCAAGCUUUCUGCACAACUAUCUCCUUCGACGAAUACGGAACGAGAAUACAUGUUGCAAGUUCCGUAUUCUAAUGCAGUGGGUAGCUUGAUGUAUGCAAUGGUGUGUACAAGACCCGACAUUUCACAGGCAGUUAGUAUAGUGAGCAGGUAUAUGCAUAAUCCUGGAAAAGGACAUUGGCAAGCUGUGAAAUGGAUUCUACGGUAUAUUCAGAAGACCGUGGAUGUUGGAUUACUGUUCAAGCAGGAUAAUACACUUGGUAAAGGUGUUAUUGGGUACGUUGAUUCUGACUAUGCCGGUGAUUUGGACAAGCGAAGAUCAACCACCGGUUAUGUGUUUACACUUGCUGGAGGACCAAUAAGUUGGAAGUCUACACUACAGUCUACAGUUGCAUUGUCAACCACAGAAGCCGAGUACAUGGCUGUAACAGAGGCUGUAAAGGAGGCUAUUUGGUUACAAGGUAUGGCUAAAACCUUGGGGUUGGUUCAGGAGCAUAUUAACGUGUAUUGUGAUAGUCAAAGUGCUAUUCAUUUAGCAAAGAAUCAAGUCUAUCAUGCACGUACAAAACAUAUCGACGUACGAUUCCAUUUUGUGCGGGAAAUUAUUGAAGAGGGGAAAAUUUGUCUUCAGAAGAUCAAGACUGCAAAUAAUCCCGCAGAUAUGAUGACCAAGGUGGUAACAGCAACCAAGUUCGAACAUUGUUGGAACUUGAUUAAUAUCAUGCAAGUUUAACAGUUGAAGAAGGCACUAUCAAGUAUUGUUGUCAAAGGCAGAAAGAAUUGUGUGAAGAUAAGAUUAUCCUAAUCAAAUCUUCAAGGUGGAGAUUAUUGGAACCCACCCAUUGUUUGAAAAGUCAAAAAGGGUGGGCACCGAAAGUAGAAAGUAAAAUUGGUUGGCAAGUUGGGUUAAAAGUUGGCAUGGGAUAAUUGCAAUUUUGGUCCCUAAUUGUAUAGGGACAUUGCAAGUUGAUCCUUGAACCUCAACUAUAAAUAGGCCUAACCAUUUCUUACUUUCUUCAUCCCACACUUGCCAUUCUCUACUUAAGGCAAUUGUUCUCUCUCCCUAUUUGUAAACUUUCACUUGUAUUUUUGGAGUGAAAUAUAUUUGGUAGUGCCCGAGGACGUAGGCAAAAUUUGCUGAACCUCGUUAAAAUUCUAGUGUUCUUUAUUUUUUGUUCUGCAUAUUUUGCAAGUGUCAUUGUAGUGAUUUAUUGUGCUAUUAAAUUACGAUAGAGGGAUAUUCUGGCUAGGAAAGAUCUGGUAUGUAAGCGAUCCUCGUGAUCCACCUCUCUUUCCUGGGAAUUGAACUUAGUGUGAUUUUUCAGUACAAUAAUUUUACUCUUUCACACGC
rnacentral:lncRNA from 1 species